ensembl:lncRNA
GAUGUGGAAACACUGAAAAUGGUCCAGCAGAAGGGGAUUACACCAAUGUCACAUCAGUGAUUCAGCUCAAAGUCAUUAACAAGAAAAGGCAACGUGGUGACCCAGAGGAGACCUCUUACUACAAUAUGUCAAUACAAGUUCAGCCUCAGCUCUAAAAUCUUAACAGCAGCUCUUUAGCUGUUUUUCUUUUCUUUUUUUCCUCUUUAAAGUCUCUUAAAAACUCAAAGUCACUUUGAGUGAAAAGGAGAAUAUUUUGAAUUCAAAGCAAUGAUCCUGAUAGCCUGAGUUUAUAUUUCCUUCAGAAAGGAUCGCGCAGUGUGUUUUGCUU